UAUGCAUGAAUUAAUGGUGUUAAAUAAAAGGGGCUUACCGGAUGUCUUCAAAAAGAGUGUACAAACUUGGUGGAGGUUGAAUCCUACCGUGUAUGUUAUCCUCAGCCAUACGGGAUUGAGAAGUCCCGUACUGGAUGGGGUAUGAAAUUGUUUUAAUUACACUCAUACCAUACAGAGUAUUGAGACGGUUGUGUAUUGUGGCGCCCAUUAUUGGACGGGUAUGAGGACGACCGUUUGAUUGUAGAGAAAAUAUUCGUGUCUAUGUGUAGUGUAGAUCCCUAUGGACCCUCAACAACACCGGUAAGAAAGGUAAAAUGAUAGAGAUGAAUAUGGUAAGGAAUCAAAUUUUAAAAAAUACCGUAGGAUUAAUUGUAAUAUGUCUU
rnacentral:lncRNA from 1 species